rnacentral:rRNA from 1 species
UACGUAGGGGGAAAGCGUUGUCCGGAAUCAUUGGGCGUAAAGAGCGCGUAGGCGGUCCGGUAAGUCCGCUCUGAAAGUCCGGGGCUCAACCCCGGGAGGCGGGCGGAUACUGCCGGGCUAGAGUCCGGAAGAGGAGAGUGGAAUUCCUGGUGUAGCGGUGAAAUGCGUAGAGAUCCGGAGGAACACCAGUGGCGAAGGCGACACGCUGGGCCAUACCUGACGCUAAAGCGCGACAGCAUGGGGAGCAAACGGG